AUUGAACGCUGGCGGCAGGCCUAACACAUGCAAGUCGAGCGAGCGGCGGACGGGUGAGUAAUGUCUGGGAAACUGCCUGAUGGAGGGGGAUAACUACUGGAAACGGUAGCUAAUACCGCAUACCAUCAGAUGUGCCCCGAGGGGAUUAGCUGGUAGGUGGGGUAACGGCUCACCUAGGCGACGAUCCCUAGCUGGGCUGAGAGGAUAACCAGCCACACUGGAAGGAAGACACGGGCCAGGCUCCAACGGGAGGCAGCAGUAGGCAAUAUUGCACAAUGGGCGCAAGCCUGAUGCAGCCAUGCCGCGUGUGUGAAGAAGGCCUUCGGGUUGGAAAGCACGUUCAGCGGGGAGGCGUUACCCGCAGAAGAAGCACCGGCUAACUCCGUGCCAGCAGCCGCGGUAAUUC
rnacentral:rRNA from 1 species